rnacentral:rRNA from 1 species
GGGGAAUAUUGCACAAUGGGCGCAAGCCUGAUGCAGCGACGCCGCGUGGGGGAUGACGGCCUUCGGGUUGUAAACUCCUUUCGCCAGGGACGAAGCGUUUUGUGACGGUACCUGGAGAAGAAGCACCGGCUAACUACGUGCCAGCAGCCGCGGUAAUACGUAGGGUGCAAGCGUUGUCCGGAAUUACUGGGCGUAAAGAGCUCGUAGGUGGUUUGUCACGUCGUCUGUGAAAUUCCACAGCUUAACUGUGGGCGUGCAGGCGAUACGGGCUGACUUGAGUACUGUAGGGGUAACUGGAAUUCCUGGUGUAGCGGUGAAAUGCGCAGAUAUCAGGAGGAACACCGAUGGCGAAGGCAGGUUACUUGGCAGUUACUGACGCUGAGGAGCGAAAGCAUGGGUAGCAAACAGGAUUAGAUACCCUGGUAGUCCAUGCCGUAAACGGUGGGCGCUAGGUGUAGGGACCUUUUGGGGUUUCUGUGCCGUAGCUAACGCAUUAAGCGCCCCGCCUGGGGAGUACGGCCGCAAAGCUA